CACAUUCUAAACUGUACAAUUGAAGCCACAUUGGCAAAUUUCAAUUUACAUUACACAUUGAUAUAAUUGUCAUUUACAUAUAAAGAACUUAAAUGCAUACAAGCUCAAUUAUAACAGUUUAGUACUUAAAUAACCUUGAUCAAACUAACUCCUAACAGUCAAAAAAUGUACUGCACAAAUUCUUAAAUUAACUAUACAAACAAAUAUAAUCCAAAAAGGAAAUGGAGACUAUAUUUUGUGCUUACAUAAGGUGGGAUUGGCACUUGGAACAUUUAUACCCAGCCAGCGAGCUCGCCCUUCAGAAACUGAAUCCUUAAUGCUCAGAAUUAUACACAUAGCAUGCUUUGCAAAGUAGUUCUUGUCUUGCAACUAGGCUUACCAAUGUGGUUCCUAUUAAAUCAAUAUUUAUUGGAGCCCGAUUAUCACCAUUUUCAUUGGUUGGCUGCAAAGAACAGAAACAAAAAAUUCAAAUCAAAGGUAAAGCUAAACAAAUUAGCUUUUAAAGUAAAGAAAAAAACGCAGAGCCUCAAAAAAUCCAAGUAUCACCAUUUUCACUCAUUAGCUCAAUCUCGAUUUUAUAUUUACGGCACUCUAUUUAAGACAUAAAACCAGAAAACUUCUUCAUUUGUUUGGGGUUUGACCACACUCACAAGGGUAGGGAGAAAAUUGGGUUGCCGUUAAGCUAAAUAAUAAUGACAAUAAAAUAAAUAAAAAAUAAAAAAGAAGUGUAGCACUACAUACUUCUUUCCCGUCAAAAUACAGCCACUGGAAUACAACCCAAUUUAGCAUUUUGAAUAAAACCAUGCAAGUCUUAGGAUCAAUAGCCUGAAGAACAAAACAAUGGAUUAAAUAAAAAAAAUACCAUUAGCGCCAUAAAUUAUAAUCUGCUGCAAGAUUUAAAUUAUAAUCUAUUAAAUUAAAGUAUUAAUUAGAACUCAAACAAAUUUAUUUAAGGAAAAAAAACUAGAGUUGUUCAUACGGCAGCCAGGAAAAUUUAGAGAAUUUAAUUGAAAAAGAUAUUAAUGCUUUAUAAGUAAGAAGAUUUCGAAAUUAAUUAAGCCACGCAUGAACAAAAAUCUAAUCAAAUAGUCAAAGAAGAGAUUAUGUGAUAAUUGGCCAAACCCAUGUAACUUUGAAGUUGAUUAAAUAGUAUAAAAAUUCACCCAAAAUGAAUUUAACACAUACAUGAUAAUUAGGCAAAUAUCUGACACCUGUAAAUUUAUACAUGAAUUUGAAUAGAUUAAACAAAAAUAAGAGAAGAAAUCAGCCAUUACAGUUUAGAAUUUGCUAGGUAGUAUCAACUUUAAUACCCAAAAACAGAUUAUGGAACGAACAUACAAAUUUUUUUUUUCAAAUAAGAAUCGGAACUUGAAACAAGCAUGGCAAAAGAGACUAAUUUCAAUGACAUAAUACCUAAAUAAACAGAAUUUUAAUCAUGCGUGCAAGUUAAUUUAGAAAUGACUUAACAACAUCAACAUGCAUGCCAAUUUAAACAAGAAUUUUGAAGAAAAAUAAAGAAUAAAAUGAACUGAGAAAGAAGGCUUACAAAUUCAAAAAGCCAGAUAUUUAAUAUUUUGCUCUGAAAUUGAAUUCUCUCUCUUUAAAUCCAAAUCCUUCACCUAGCCUCUCUUGUCUUUCUCUUCUUUCUCCCUCUUCUCCUCUCUCACGUCCUGUUAUCCUCUUGUUUCCUUUCUUCCUUUUUCUGUUUUGUUCCUUUUGAAUCCGAACACUGGUUUUUGUUUCGUAAAUAAAUAAAGAAAUGCUAAAAUAUAAAGAGGUUCAUGGGCUGGACUUGUAACAAAAAUUUUACUAACAAUAUAAUAAGCAUAAGACAAUUAAAUCAUUAAUAAUUUAAAUUUUAUUUUUUUAACAAAUAAGUAAACUCCACUUAGUAAAAAUCAGGGCGUUUCAGUCCUCUUUUCUGUCAAUGUGAUUUUCUAUCCCCUUACCCAUAAUUCACUCUUUUUCCAAAUUCAUUAACCAAGAAAAUCAAGAAACAAAAGGCCAAAGUGCACGACAUAUUUUAUAAUAUUAUGAAAGGAAAAGGAGAGACUAAGGUACAAGCUACACAACACAAAAUCACCAAAUCGAUUAUAAAUGAAGAGGAAAUAAAUCCGACGAGCAAAUAUUUCAAAGCAAAUUAAGAGGAAAGAAUUGCAAAAUUGGAGAAAGCAACUCACAGUGGUGAAACAAUAACCCUGAAUUCAAAAUUUUAGAAUAUCAUUGGCAACAAUCUCACCAACAUUUUCAAGAUAGCACCCAGAAAAUUUGAACUGACUUGACAGCGGAGGCAGUGUCACCACAAUAACCCUGCAUCUGACGGUGAACGAACACAGAGGCAAUGUCGGCAGAGAUGACAGCAGCUGUUUUGCGGAAGUGAAUCGGCUCAAGAAUGGCAGAGAUUGACAGCGGCGGCAGAAAAAGGAAGCAAAUCGGCUCAAGGACAGCUAGACUCAGCGCUGGAGCACUUGAAUCGAUUUGACAGCGGCAGCGGCAUUGACGUUUGAUAGCUUAGGUAGGGUUAGGGCUGGUGUGUGUGACUGAGUGAGUCGUUGUGAUUGUAAUUCGUGAAAAUUGAAGAAGAAGAUAAGGAAUGUGAGUGGUUAGGGAUUGCGCGUUACCUUUAUUCCUUUUAUCGGCUUUUUUUUUUAAAUUUUUUAAGGCAAAUAACAUAUAACGACGGUUAUUAUAAAACGGUCAUGAA
rnacentral:lncRNA from 1 species